rnacentral:lncRNA from 1 species
UCAGCCGCUGGUUCGGGGAGACGAACCUUCCACCUUAGACCAUGGCCAAGUUCAUCCGUAACCUCGCGGACAAGGCACCGUCGAUGGUGGCGGCUGCCGUGACUUACUCGAAGCCUCGAUUGGCCACAUUUUGGCACUAUGCUAGGGUUGAGCUGGUUCCCCCAACCCUUGGUGAAAUCCCUACAGCUAUUCAGAGCAUGAAAAGUAUAAUUCACAGUGCCCAAACUGGUAACUUCAAACACCUCACAGUUAAGGUAAUUCUGCUAAAUGAAAAAGUAUGCUUGUGAUUGAAAAGUGUCUUCCCUGGGGAUAUUUCCAGUUCUUUUGAUUAAUAUAUGUAUUUUCCAGUAAGGCAAACUCCAACAUGAGAGAUUGUCUCUUUUUUGACUGCCAAGGAAAGACAUUUUCUUUUCUCAUUUCGUCAUCUGAAUAGAAGUAAUCCAGCCGUUCUUUGUCUUGGUCUAGUUGUGAUUAUAGAGCAAAAAGGUGCGCGUCCUGAGUUACUGGGAACCUCAUUCUCCUUUCUAAUGCCAUCUACUAUAUUAUAACAUGCUGAUAUAGUUUUUGGGCUUUGUUUUCUUUUUAAGAUUUAUUUAUUAUAUAUAAGUUCACUGUAUUUCAGACACCAGAAGAGGACAUCAGAUCUUAUUACAGAUGGUCGUGAGCCACCAUGUGGUUGCUGGGAUUUGAACUCAAGACCUCUGGAAGAGCAGUCAGUGCUCUUAGUCACUA